GGGUCCCUGAGCCUCCCGCCAGCGCAGAGCCAGAGGGUGCCCCGGCGGGCGACAGGGGUGCCAGCCCGGGCGGCAUCGCCGCGUGAGCUGCUUGAAAACCAAAUAAAUAUGUAAUCAAGAGGAAGAAGGAGAUAUCUGACUCUGGGGAAAAGAAGACACAGAUAAAGAAAGGAAAAUAGAACACAAAAGGAGGAUUUCCCCAGGGAAUUUAGCAGGAAGAAUGCAUAUACAGGAAUAUGCAUAUGUGCAUCAACAGCAAAAUCAAAAGUUUCAUAAGCACUGGAAACUCCAAAAGUACCAGAGGAUCCUUUCUCCAUGGGACCUUCUCUCAGCCAGUAAGUUUCUCCCCUUUUCCUCACCUCCUUACUUCACCAGUCACCGUGAUUACCUACACCCAGUUGGCUGGUCUUAUCCACAAGCUGCUCCAGCACUGGGUCCACCGCUCCUGAAGUCCCUGCUGAAUCUCUCCGCGUUGUGCCCCAGGGCGCCAAGGAAAACCCCUUGCUGUGGAUUUAAGUAGCUGCUGGUUCCUAAUCAGUUAACAUUCACCCCAGGUGCCAUCCCCUUCCCAACUGUAUUUGUUAAGUAAUUAACUUUGCCCUGUCCCUGACCUGACUACUUGCAACUUAGUAACAUCAAAGGAACAGGGCUGUCUUUGCACUGAUACAAGUAGGAAUCCAAAACCUUCAACAGUGCAAUAAUGAAUAGAAUAAAACUCCAUAGGGAGAAGUUAUCUAAUCAGAAUGAAGUUUACAAGUAAUAAAACAACACUAAUAAUAAAAGGUACAUUAGACUUUUAAUUAUAUCACAUUUACAAAGGUGUUGCACAUUGCAGAUUAUAAUUUCUAAAAAUGCUUCUUGUAUCAUGAUUUUUUUAAAGAAUUUGAUGAUUGCACUUUAAAUGUUGCUGUCUAAUCUGCCUAGCAACAAAUUACCCUCUCACACCCUCUAGUGGCUAAUAAAAAUAGGAAACCAGAUUGUAUCUUCUUGAAAUAUAUCUCUCUUCAGAAAUGUCCAUUAGGCUGUAUAUGCCUUCUUACACUUGAGGAAGGAUAGUUUAUGCCUCAGACUGUCUCUGAUACAUCUCCCAACUACAGUUGGUUC